GAUGAACGCUGGCGGCGUGCCUAAUACAUGCAAGUCGAGCGAACGGACGAGAAGCUUGCUUCUCUGAUGUUAGCGGCGGACGGGUGAGUAACACGUGGAUAACCUACCUAUAAGACUGGGAUAACUUCGGGAAACCGGCGCUAAUACCGGAUGAUAUUUUGAACCGCAUGGUUCAAAAGUGAAAGACGGUCUUGCUGUCACUUAUAGCUGGAUCCGCGCUGCAUUAGCUAGUUGGUAAGGUAACGGCUUACCAAGGCAACGAUGCAUAGCCGACCUGAGAGGCUGAUCGGCCACACUGGAACUGAGACGCGGUCCAGACUCCUACGGGAGGCAGCAGUAGGGAAUCUUCCGCAAUGGGCGAGAGCCUGACGGAACAGCGCCGCGUGAGUGAUGAAGGUCUUGGGAUCGUAAAACUCUGUUAUUAGGGAAGAACAUAUGUGUAAGUAACUGUGCACAGCGUGACGGUACCUAAUCAGAAAGCCACGGCUAACUACGUG
rnacentral:rRNA from 1 species